GGAAGGAAGAGAACUGGGGAAGGAAGACUGGUCAUUGAAGAAGUAGUGUUCUUAGAACUGACUGAACGCAGGAAGACAGCGCCUAUGAUUUCAUCUCUGGCCAAUCAGCACUCCUGGCUCACUGGCUUCCCCCCACCCACCAAGUUAUCCUUAAACACUCUGCUCCCUGAAUGCUUGGGGAGACUGAUUUGAGUAAUUAUAAAACUCAGGUCUCCCGCACGCCGGCUCUGCGUGAAUUACUCUUUCUCUAUUGCAAUUCCGCAAUUCCCCUGUUGUGAUGAAUCGGCUCUGUCUAGGCAGCGAGCAAGGUGAA
rnacentral:lncRNA from 1 species